CUCACAGCAAACGCCUUUGGAUUAUGGCCUGCAGUUUUUGGGGAGAAAAAGGAAAAAGAUUUGGCAUUGUAAUCAGCAAGAAAAAGUCUGUAAUUAUUAAGACUAUUAGGGGUAGAAUUAAAUUAAGAAUGUCAAGUACCAACACAGUGAUGCUAAUACUAUAUCUCUGGCAUCAUUACUUACAAGUGUCUCGGAAAAGCUUAGUGCGAGAUGAAUGGGCUAAUAACUUGCUGGGCAGUUGCUACCCUCCAGUUAAUUGCAGAGUUUACCUAGCAGUGACAAUGCAGAGAAGAAGAGAUAAAAAGAGCUAGUAACGCAGUUAAAUUUUUAAAAGGCAUAUAGAGUCAUCAGUUUUAGUACUGUGAGCUACAUUUCAAACUAAAAAGUUAUUUGAAACAAAAGACUGAAUUAUUUGAUUUCAAUAGAGCUGAACUGAAAUGUAUUAAUUGUAUUGAAAUGUUAAAAGAAUUAAAUAUGCAUAAUUUAGUCAAAACUGGAUGGGAAAGUUCCAGUUUUGCAAAAGGACUGGUUUCCUGCAGAAAAUUCCAUCAAAUUAUUUAGAUCAGCUUUACUUUUUAUCAUGGAGAGAUUGGGGAAAAGUUAGGUUUACUAGGGAAGUUUUGUUUUGAAGCAGUUGAUGUGUUGGAAGGAUGCAGAAUGAAGAGCUUGUUCAGAUUGCUGAUGGGAGAAAAUGAAGAUACUCAGAAAGUGGUCUGUACUAAAGGGACAGGAACCUCAUUCCCUAAGUGUGGCAAUCAAAACCAUUUGCCCAUUUAAGUGUCUUGCUCUCUAAAUUCUUUUUCUUACUUUCUCAGGUUUUCUGUUUCAAAUUCCUCCUUUCUAAGUGCCUGACACAGUGGUACUCGUCUCUUUAUGUUCUCAUCUCCUUUUCAUCUACAGUACUUGUGUUUAAUGACACUUGCCUUUUGUUUAAUCUUCCAUCCUUAACCAUAGUUUUGUCUCCUUAAGUACUAAUAUAAAUGUUACUGCUUUUUUAUUCUUGGAACGAUCUAUUUCUUCCUGUAUGACAUUUUGUCCUUCGGAUCUGUUAUGAAAAUUCAUUAUUUCAUCUCUUUUCACAGAGGUAGCUGAAAAUCCCAUCGACUUUCAUAUUGAUACCCUUUCCGCAAGAGUCUGUGAGUUCCUUGGGCCUGUGACACAUUUGUGUCUGCAAUGUAUUCUGCAAAAGUAUCACAUACUCAUGACAUUUUAAGAAUACAUAAAGAAGAAUGCAAGGACAAGAGAUUCACAGGGAGCAACCAUGUUGGGAACAAUGAUUUUUUCAGAGGAGAUGUUGGGCAGUACUGAGAAAAGCACCCAUCAGAUGAGAAACCUCAGGGAAAGGGAGGUCGUGAAGGGUGUUUGGAAUGAGCAGAACCCUUGGGGAAAGAGAAGUUUCCUCACAAACUUUCAGAAGAAAAUACAAGGCCAGAAGGGAGCUGGUUAUGGCUUCCCAGAUUUCUGGAUUUUUUUUUUUUUUCUAGUUUGCACCAGUUGGAAAGAGUUGCUGAGCAACUGGUUCCUGUGUACUCUGGCCACUCCUCAUCUGUGAUGAGCUUUCUUUAGGUUACCUGUAUAUCCUCUGUGUCAUGUCGUCUGGGAGGGACAUCUGCGUUCCAUUCUGUGAUGAGAUGACUGGCUGAGCAGAUAAGGGGAGAGCAGUACAUGUUGUAUACCUUGAAUUUAGCAAGGCAUUUAACAAUCUACCUAGUAUUCCUACAGCCAAACUGGUGAGCUAUGGACUGGAUAAAUAGUAAGGUGGGUGGAAAAUUAUCUCAACCAUUGAGCUCUAAGGGUGGUGAUCACUGGUACAAAGCUCACCUGGCAACUGGUUAUGAGUGGCAUGCCUCAGGGAUUGAUGCCAACCAUGCUUGUCUUCAGUAACAGCUUGGAUGGCUGGAUAGAGUGCAACCUUUGCAAGUUUGCAGGUUAUAUGAAUUGGGAAGGGUGGACAGUACACUGAGGGCAGGGCUGCUUUUGAGCCAGAAAUGGCUUGUCAGAAACCUCAUGAAACUUACCAAAGGCAAAUGGAAGGUCCUCCUCCAUCUGGGAUGAAAUAAGCCCGUGCAACAGCACAGGGUAGCACUGACUGGCUAGGAAGCAGAUUUGUAGAAAAAGACCUGAGGUCCUUGUGGGCAGCAAGUUGCACGAGUCAUCAGUGUGUCCUUCUGACAAAGAAGGCCAGCUGCAUCUUGGGCUACAUUAGGAGGAGGAUAGCCAGCAGGUGGAGGGAAGUGAUGGUUCUUUCCCUCUAUAUGGCACUUGUGGGACCACCUCUGGAGUGGCGGGUCCAGUUUUGGGCUCCCCAGCACAGAAAAGACGUUGACAUAGUGGAGCAAGUGCAUCAGAGGGCCAUUGAGAUGCUUAGGGGGCUGGAGCACAUGAUGUACAAGGAGAGGCUGAGAGAUGUGUUUGUUCCAUCCUAAGAAGAGAAUGCUAAUGCAGUGAGGGGAAUCUCAUUGCUGUCUAUGACUACCUAACAGGAGCAUGUCGAGAAGACAGAGCUAGACCCUUCUCAGAGGAGCAGAAUGGAAGGACAAGAGGCUGUGACCAGAAGUUAGAAUAUGGGAAACUCCAUCCCAGUGCAAGGGGAAAACCUUUUGCCUUGAGACUGGUCAAGCGCUGGAGCAGGUUGCCUGGAGAGGUUGUGGAAUCUCCAUCCAUGGAGAUACUUGAAACUUGACUGGCCACUGCCUUCAGCAGCUGGAUCUAAAUGGACCUACAUUGAGUAGGGGAUUGGUGUAAAUGUUCUCUGGUGGUUCCUUCCAACCUAAAUGAUUCUGUCUAAGGAAUUCAUUACAUGGUAGUCAUUGAAUGCGUGUGGGCUAAUGCCAGUAAGAGAGAUCUAUCUCUCUUUAUUCAUAUUUUUAAAGUAGAAGGUACAGGCCAAUGGAGUUUCAUUUUUCAGGGGGCAAUAUAAAGAUGAAACAACCAAAAUAAAGAAGAAAUGAGUUAUGAAUUUUCAUUUGUGUAGUAUGUUACUUAAGUCUUAGAAGUACAUGAACAGUAUUAUAUUUAUUCCACCUUCUCUGUGUCUUCCUGAUAUUUCAUUUGAUAUCUUCUUUUCUCUCAUAAGAACUUCCUAGGAAUUGCAUUCACUUUCUUGUUGCAGAUAAUCAUGUCAUGUAAUUGUUUGCACACACAGAUGGUGAUCCAUCUGAAACCUGGACUUCUUGCUCCUCCCGGUCUACCUGGAGGGCUUUUCUGUAACUUCUGAUUCUCCAGCUAAUUGUAUUAAUUGAUGUUAUGGUUCUGUGUAUUCCUACUGCUGAGAGGAGAAUACUAGUGUUUUUUGAAGGCUUGUCUUCAGUGGAGAGGUAAAGUCAUUUUACUGAAGCUAAACUGUGUUGAGUCAGCAACUGUGUACAGAGAUAGUAUAGGCUAUAUAUUGAGUGCUUUGAUUAACAGCUUAGCAGUUUCCUACUUGAAUUGAAGUCUCUUGGUGCCUUCCCACCCCAUCACUAGCUAGAAAAUUAACAGGCUUUGAGAUUUCCUCCGCUGACAGUCCAGUAUUUCAAAGCGUAAAAAAGAAAGGCUUGUAUGUAGGUAGUAAUCAGCUACAGGAUCAUUGUUCCCUCAGGCUAAUGCUCCAGAGAGGAAAAGCACCAAGACAAAACCAAUGUGCAAUGUAUACUGAAAUCUAAAGUCUGAUUUCAGCAAACAGGCAGAGAGCAAGCACCACACGUCAGGGGAAGCAGAAGUAUUUUCCAGGGACUGUUGGUGACACUGAAGGGUCUCUGACAUGCAAUAAGGUACUGCUGCGCAAGCCAAAAGAUAAAGAUCAUAGGUUUCUCUUUUUAUCUCUUUUGUUUAACUUGAAUUCCUAAAGAAACAAAACAUAUGCAAUUAUUCUUUUGGUCUGUCUGUACAUUUUUCCUUCCAACUCUCCCUAAAAGCGUCAUGUGGAACCACUACAUGUGCUGAAACAGAAACUGGCUGGUCAGUCACCAUGUGUGUGAUACCAGCCAGCCAUUGCACCUUUGGCUCAGACAAACAGCUGGGAUAAGAGCAAGAGCUGUGGCAGGCAAGCUCUGUGAGGGACGUAAUACGUAACCUGCUAGGAGAAAAGGGCUUAUUAAUUCUGUUGUUUGUGAAAAAAUAUUUAUGUUGUAUAACUCUUGUUAUAUUUCAGUGUAAAAUAUUUGUCAUCACAGUUGAAAAUACUGAUGCAAACAAAUAGAUUUAUUCCUUGUUUUGUAAUUAAGUUUAACUACUAUAUUAUAGAUACACAUAUAUUUUUGUUUUAAAUAACUUUUUAAAAAUAUGAUGU